CAAGGAUCGUGUGUAUUUACCCAAAAUUAGGUUUUGCAAUUUUAUUGUUUAAAAAUUCGCAUAAUUAUGCUCGUAAACAUUCUAGUAAUACGGUAACUGUGAGGAGUGUUGUUAUUAUGGUGGUUGGUUUGCAGGUCUGGGGAUAUGGCGGCCAACAGGGAAGCUCAGAGGAAGGCUACACACAAUGAAGGUGCUGCAAAUUCAAUACUGAAAGUUAGAGUGUACAACAGAUGUACAUGUACGUACGUGGUCAUAAUCAAAUAGAAGCAUUUCCCACAAAGUACAGUUACGAAGCUUUAACAUCAAAUCUGCCACUUCUAAAACUAGUGUUCAAGCUGGCGCUGUGCUAAUGCCUCUCGCCAUGUUUUUGCUUUCGCUCAAAAGUAUUAGAGUGUUAUCUAUAAUGAAUUUUAUAUUAAAGUUAGCUUAUCUAUAUAAAGUCACUGAGAAGAAAAGACUUAUUUACAUGCAUCUAUUGUUGUUAUUUAUUGUAUUAUGUGGCUUACCAGGACCUCAAGAAAGAAGAAAAUUGAUUCUUCCAGGAUCUGUAGUUCAGUGUAUAUAAUAUCUAAGAAGAAAAGACCUGUGUACAUGCAUAUUGUUAUCUAUAUUGUUAUAUGGUAGUGUUUUGUGGCUAAUACCAGGCCCUCAAGACAAAGAUGAUUUUGCCAGAAGAAUCUGGAUCUUGGAUAUCACACAUGGGGAAUGAGCGCGCAUGCGCAUUACAUACACAGGAAUAAUUAAAGGGUGUGUCCAAAGAGAUAAAUGGCUACUGCUAGCUAGCUGUUUUAACAGAUAUUUUCUGAGUAUUGUAGCUAACAAAAAGCUAGCGCUUUACUGCAAGGCUAACUCAUAUGUUGAAUAGAAAGUUUGUGAGGACAGAUGAUGCUAUGAAAGAUUCUGAAGAGACUGCAACAGCCUUCAAUGUGAGUCAAACUAGCCAUAACUCAAGAAAGAAGCUUUAGUUUGCUAAUCCAAGAAUCAAAAUCCAAGAGAACGUGGCUAGAAGCCUAUAGAAGCUGUUAGUUUUCGUCGCAUUGCAACCGUUGAGCAGUUAUAGCUGGAAUACCCACACAGACAGACAGACAGACACACACACAGUCAGCUUUACCGUAUCUCUCGUGCGGCUACGCCUCGAGGCAUAACUAAUAACUUGUUUUGUAGAGGCUAUCUAAUGCUGUAAACGCAUCCUUAAUUAUGCCUUGGUUUUUAUACUGUACAGUGGUGUACGUGUGUGUGUGUGAGGUCAAGGUUCAUUCAUUUUGCCAAUUGGCUCAGCUUCAUUGUACAUGCCCUAAACACGAUAAUUACCAGUUGUUGUUGUUCUUCCCACGCCCAGUUGAGCGUUGUUGGCGUCGGGACAGGAUCAACGAGCUCAUCAAGAUACUGGCUCAGAUAGUGCCUGCUUGUCAGAAGAAAGACGCAACUAUACUGGUUGCAUUGUCGGGUAUGUGUACAGUAUGUGUACAGCAAGGGAACGGUACUGGACAAGACAGUGGACUACUUGAAAGAGCUCGUAUUUCAAUCCUCUCAACAGUAGUGUACAGUAUAUAUUAUAAAUGCUGUCACAAACCAACAACAAUGGCGGUGGUAGUGGUGGUGGUCUCUCUGCCGCGGCUGCUGCUAGUCUGCUCAACACUCUGAUUCUGGCUCAGAAUGUGCUCACAAGCAACUCAAGUGCUGGUAGCCCCGGGCAAGAUUCAAUGUCUAUGGAAACGGUGGACCAAUCCUCUCAACAGUAGUGUACAGUGUAUUAUAAUUGUGGACUGUUUAUACUGUUCUAGUUUUAACGUGUGUUUUUUAGUAAUCUCUCCUUCACUUACUAUAGCUACAUUGUCAGUAUUAUUAUGUAUACAUAGUUUUUAUACAUGAUAUUUGUGUGGAGCUCUUUCAGAAGAAUAUUGUAGCAAAGCCCAUUUAUAUGUAACCACGCCCAUUAUAAUUAUGUGCAGCCUAGCCUCCAUCUCAAGCCGCACUUCCUAGAAAGUUAGCCUGGUAAUCGACUGCUUGUGCAUGAGCUAACCAUUAGCUGGCAUUGAGAAGAACCUUCAUCAAGAACAAGGACACUGCCGAGGGUAGCACUUCAGUGCUCUAGUUCUAAUUGUAGAUUGACUGAUCGAUUUGUCUUCUGUACUAUUGUUUGAUUUUUCCGCCCCUCAUCUUUUCCGCCCCCCAGUUAUGUGGCCAUUUUUCAGCCCGGCCAAGUGUUGAGGAGACAAGAAGAGGCACUGAGAAUGGAGGUAGAGGCGUACUAUGCUGCUAAGAAGGCCACUCAGUGUGACUAUGACCGUGUGACUCUUUAACCCCUCAGUUCCAUUAGGAUAACUGGGGGCCGGAAAAGAUAAGCCUACUAUGCUGCUAAGAAAGAGAGGGGCCUCACGUAAACUGGCCACUCAGUGUGACUGUGAUCAUGUGACUCUUUAACCCCUCAGUUCCCGAGCCCCACCCCUCACUGUCUGACUCGGAAGAGGAGAUAGACUUUGUAUUCUGGGAGAAGGCGUCCACCCUACCCUCGGACAAGACCCCAACCAAGGACCUGAACUUGUUAUGAGACUGUUAAAUAUUAUUUUGUCUGUUUUUGUACUAUUUUCUGGCAAUGUAAUUAUGUAUGUACCACUUCAUGUCAUCAUAAUAACUAUAAUUAAAUUCUGUUGCAA